UUUGUUUGUGAGAGAGUAUGUUUGUAAGCUACCUUUAGCAAUAUUCCAUCAAUAUAACGGCGGGGGACACCAGAAAUGGCCUUCACACAUUGUACCCAUAUGGGGGAAUCGAACCCGGGUCUUCAGCGUGACGAGCGAACGCUUUAACCACUACGCUGCCCAACCGCCCCCAUAUUGUAUUUGUGAAAAAUAUACAUGU